GACGAACCGUGCAAACGUUAUUCGGAAUCACUGGGCUUAAAGGGCGCGUAGGCGGGCCGCCAGGUCCGGGGUGAAAGCCUCCAGCUCAACUGGAGAAGUGCCUUGGAUACCGGCGGCCUCGAGGGAGGUAGGGGCGUGCGGAACUUCGGGUGGAGCGGUGAAAUGCGUAGAUAUCUGGAGGAACACCGGUGGCGAAGGCGGCAUCCUGGACCAACACUGACACUGAGGAGCGAAAGCCAGGGGAGCAAACGGG
rnacentral:rRNA from 1 species